GGACGUAGCUCAGUUGAUAGAGCACUUGCCUUGCAUGCACAAGGCCUUGGGUUCAAUCUCCAGCACCA
rnacentral:tRNA from 1 species